AAACCAACAGGGAUUGCCUCAGUAACGGCGAGUGAAGCGGCAACAGCUCAAAUUUGAAAUCUGGCCCUAGGCCCGAGUUGUAAUUUGCAGAGGAUGCUUUUGGUGCGGUGCCUUCCAAGUUCCCUAGAACGGGACGCCAGAGAGGGUGAGAGCCCCGUACAGUUGGACACCAAGCCUUUGUAAAGCUCCUUCGACGAGUCGAGUAGUUUGGGAAUGCUGCUCUAAAUGGGAGGUAUAUGUCUUCUAAAGCUAAAUACCGGCCAGAGACCGAUAGCGCACAAGUAGAGUGAUCGAAAGAUGAAAAGCACUUUGAAAAGAGAGUUAAAAAGUACGUGAAAUUGUUGAAAGGGAAGCGUUUAUGACCAGACUUGGGCUUGGUUAAUCAUCUGGGGUUCUCCCCAGUGCACUUUUCCAGCCCAGGCCAGCAUCAGUUUUCGCCGGGGGAUAAAGACUUCGGGAAUGUGGCUCCCCUCGGGGAGUGUUAUAGCCCGUUGUGUAAUACCCUGGCGGGGACUGAGGUUCGCGCUUCUGCAAGGAUGCUGGCGUAAUGGUCAUCAACGAC
rnacentral:rRNA from 1 species